ACAUUUGUUUGUAGAUUUUCUGAUGAUGCCCAUUCUAACUGGUAUGAGGUGAUACAUCACUGUAGUUUUGAUUUGCACUUCUCUAAUAAUUAGUGAUGUUUAGCAGCUUUUCAUGUGCUUCUUGGCCAUCUGUAUGUCUUCUUUGGAGAAAUGUCUAUAUAGGUCUUCUGCCCAUUUUUGGAUUGGGUUGUUUGUUGUUUUAAUAUUGAGCUGCAUGAGCUGUUUAUAUAUUUGGGAGAUUAAUCCUUUGUCUGUUGAUUCGUUUGCAAAUAUUUUCUCCCAUUCUAAGGGUUGCCUUUUUGUCUUGUUUAUGGUUUCCCUUGCUGUGCAAAAGCUUUUAAGUUUCAUCAGGUCCCAUUUGUUUAGUUUUGUUUUUAUUUCCAUUAUUCUAGGAGGUGGAUCAAAAAAGAUCUUCCUGUGAUUUAUGUCAAAGAGUGUUCUUCCUAUGUUUUCCUCUAAGAGUUUUAUAGUGUCCAGUCUUACUUUUAGGUCUCUAAUCCAUUUUGAGGUUUUUUUUGUGUAUGGUGUUAGGGAGUGUUCUAAUUUCAUUCUUUCACACGUGGCUGUCCAGUUUUUCCAGCACCACUUAAUGAAGAGACUGUCCUUUCUCCAUUGUAUAUCCUUGCCUCCUUUGUCAUAGAUUAAUUGACCAUAGGUGCGUGGGUUUAUCUCUGGGCUUUCUAUCCUGUUUCAUUGCUCUAUAUUUCUGUUUUUCUGCCAGUACCAUAUUGUCUUGAUUACUGUAGCUUUGUAGUAUAUUCUGAAGUUAGGGAGUCUAAUUCCUCCAGCUCCAUUUUUUUCUCCUCAAGACUGUUUUGGCUGUUUGGGGUCUUUCGUGUCUCCAUGCAAAUUUUAAGAUUUUUUGUUCUAGUUCUGUUAAAAAUGCCAUUGGUAAUUUGAUGGCUCUUUCAUUGAAUCUGUAGAUUCCUUUGGGUAGUAUAGUCAUUUUCACAAUAGAGAUUCUUCCAAUCCAAGAGGAUGGUAUAUCUCGCCAUUUGUUGGUAUCAUCUUUAAUUUCUUUCAACAGUGUCUUUUUUUUUUUUUUUUUUUUUUUUUUUUUGCUGUACGUGGGCCUCUCACUGUUGUGGCCUCUCCUGUUGUGGAGCACAGGCUCCGGACUCGCAGCCUCAGCGGCCAUGGCUCACGGGCCCAGCCGCUCCGCGGCAUGUGGGAUCAUCCCAGAACAGGGCACGAACCCGUGUCCCCUGCAUCGGCAGGCAGACUCUCAACCACUGCGCCACCAGGGAAGCCCUCAACAAUGUCUUAUAGUUUUCUGCAUACAGGUCUUUUGUCUCCCUGGGUAGGUUUAUUCCUAGGUAUUUUAUUCUUUUUGUUGCAGUGGUAAAUGGGAGUGUUUCCUUAAUUUCUCUUUCACAUUUUUCAUCAUUAGUGUAUAAGAAUGCAAGAGAUUUCUGUUCAUUAAUUUUGUAUCCUACAACUUUACCAAAUUCAUUGAUUAGCUCUAGUAGUUUUCUGGUGGCAUCUUUAGGAUUCUCUAUGUACAGUAUCAUGUCAUCUGCAAACAGUGACAGUUUUACUUCUUCUUUUCCAAUUUGUUUUCCUUUCAUUUCUUUUUCUUCUCUGAUUCCCGUGGCUAGGACUUCCAUAACUAUGUUGAAUAAUAGUGGUGAGAGGGGACAUCCUUGUCUUCUUCCUGAUGUUAGAGGAAAUACUUUCAGUUUUUCACCAUUGAGAAUGAUGUUUGUUGUGGGUUUGUCAUAUAUGGCUUUUAUUAUGUUGAGGUAGGUUCCCUCUAUGCCCACUUUCUGGAGAGUUUUUAUCAUAAAUGAUGUUGAAUUUUGUCAAAAGAUUUUUCUGCAUCUAUUGAGAUGAUUAUACGGUUUUUAUUCUUCAGUUUGUUAAUAUGGUGUAUCACAUCGACUGAUGUAUCAAUUUGUUAAUAUGGUGUAUCACAGUGUAUCACAUUGACUGAUUUGCAUAUAUUGAACAAUCCUCGCAUCCCUGGGAUAAAUCCCACUUGAUCAUGGUGUAUGAUCCUUUUAAUGUGGUGUUGGAUUCUGUUUGCUAGUAUUUUGUUGAGGAUUUUUGCAUUUAUAUUCAUCAGUGAUAUUGCUCUAUAAUUUUCUUUUUUGUAGUAUUUUGUCUGGUUUUGGUAUCAGGGUGAUGGUGGCCUCAUAGAUUGAGUUUGGGAGUGUUCCUUCCUGUGCAGUUUUUUGGAAGAGUUUAUGAAGGAUGGGUGUUAGCUCUUCUCUAAAUGUUUGAUAGAAUUCACCUGUGAAGCCAUCUUGUCCUGGGCUUUUGUUUGUUGGAAGAUUUUAAAUCACAGUUUCAAUUUCAUUACUUGUGAUUGGUCUGUUUAUAUUUUCUAUUUCUUCCUCAUUCAGUGUGUUGGAAGGUUAUACCUUUCUAAGGAUUUGUCCAUUUCUUCCAGGUUGUCCAUUUUAUUGGCAUAGAGUUGCUUAUAGUAGUCCCCUCGGAUGCUUUGUAUUUCUGCGGUGUCUGUUGUAACUUCUCCUUUUUCAUUUCUAGUUUUAAGUCCUCUCCCUCUUUUUCUUGAUGAGUCUGGCUAAUGGUUUAUCAAUUUUGUUUAUCUUCUCAAAGAACUAGCCUUUAGUUUUAUUGAUCUUUGCUAUUGUUUUCUUUGUUUCUAUUUCAUUUAUUUCUGCUCAGAUCGUUAUGAUUUCUUUCCUUCUGCUAACUUUGGGUUUUGUUUGUUCUUUCUCUAGUUCCUUUAGAUGUAAGGUUAGAUUGUUUAUUUGAGAUUUUUCUUGUUUCUUGAGGUAGGCUUGUAUAGCUAUAAACUUCCCUCUUAGAACUGCUUUCGCUGCAUCCCAUAGGUUUUGGAUCAUCAUGUUUUCAUUGUCAUUUGUCCCCAGGUAUUUUUUAAUUCCUCUUUGAUUUCUUCAGUGAUCUCGUGGUUAUUUAGUAUCAUAUUGUUUAGCCUCCAUGUGUUUGUGUUUUUACGUUUUUUUUCUGUUGAAUUCAUUUCUAAUCUCAUAGCAUUGUGGUCAGAAAAGAUGCUUGAUAUGAUUUCAAUUUUCUUAAACUUACUGAGGCUUGAUUUGUGACCCAAGAUGUGAUCUAUCCUGGAGAAUGUUCCAUGCGCACUUGAGAAGAGAGUGUAAUCUACUGUUUUUGGAUGGAAUGUCCUAUAAUUAUCAAUUAAAUCGACCUGGUCUAUUGUGUCAUUUAAAGCUUCUGUUCCCUUAUUUAUUUUCGUUUUGGAUGAUCUGUCCAUUGGUAUAAGUGAGGUAUUAAAGUCCCCCACUAUUAUUGUGUUACCGUCGAUUUCCUCUUUUAUAGCUGUUGACAUUUGCCUUAUGUGUUAAGGUGCUCAUAUGUUGGGUGCAUAUAUAUUUAUAUUUGUUAUAUCUUCUUCCUGGAUUGAUCCCUUGAUCAUUAUGUAGUGUCUUUCCUUGUCUCUUGUAACAUUCUUUAUUCUAAAGUCUAUUUUAUCUGAUAUUAGUAUUGCUACUCCAGCUUUCUUUUGAUUUCCAUUUGCAUGGAUUAUCUUUUUUGAUCCCCUCACUUUCAGUCUGAAUGUGUCCCUAAGUGUGAAGUGGGUCUCUUGUAGACAGCAUAUAUAUGGGUCUUGUUUUUGUAUCCAUUCAGCAAGCCUGUGUCUUUUGGUUGGAGCAUUUAAUCCAUUCACGUUUAAGGUAAUUAUCGAUAUGUAUGUUCCUAUUACCAUUUUCUUAAUUGUUUUGGGUUUGUUUUUGGAGGUCCUUUUCUUCUCUUGUGCGUCCCACUUAGAGGAGGUCUUUUAGCAUUUGUUCUGGAGCUGGUUUGGUGGUGCUGCUUUCUCUUAGCUUUUGCUUGUGUGUAAAGCUUUUGAUUUCUCCAUCGUAUCUGAAUGAGAUCCUUGCCGGGUAGAGUAAUCUUGGUUGUAGGGUCUUCCCUUUCAUCACUUUAAGUAUAUCAUGCCACUCCCUUCUGGCUUGUAGAGUUUCUGCUGAGAAAUUAGCUGUUAACCUUAUGGGAGCUCCCUUGUAUAUUAUUUGUCAUUUUUCCCUUGCUGCUUUCAAUAAUUUUUCUUUGUAUUUAAUUUUUGCCAAUUUUAUUACUAUGUGUCUCAGCAUGUUUUUCCUUGGGUUUAUCCUGUAUGGGACUCUCCUGGACUUGGGUGGCUAUUUCCUUUCCCAUGUUAGGGAAGUUUUCAACUCUAAUCUCUUCAGAUACUCUCUCGGGUGCUUUCUCUCUCUCUUCUCCUUCUGGGACCCAUAUAAUGCGAAUGUUGGUGCAUUUAAUGUUGUCCCAGAGGUCUCUUAGGCUGUCUUCAUUUCUUUUCAUUCUUUUUCUUUAUUCUGUUCCGCAGCAGUUUAUUCCACCAUUCUGUCUUUCAGGUCACUUAUCCGUUCUUCUGCCUCAGUUAUUCUGCUCUUGAUUCCUUCUAGUGUAUUUUUCAUUUUAGUUAUUGUAUUGUUCAUCUCUGUUUGUUUGUUCUUUAAUUUUUCUAUGGCUUUAUUAAACCUUUCUUGCAUCUUCUCUGUUUUUGCCUCCAUUGUUUUUCCGAGGUCCUGGAUCAACUUUACUAUCAUUAUUCUGAAUUCUUUUUCUGGAACGUUGCCUAUCUGCACUUCAUUUAGGUUUUUUUCUGGGGUUUUAUGUUGUUCCUUCAUCUGGUACAUAGCCCUCUGCCUUUUCAUCUUGUCUGUCUUUCUGUGAAUGUGGUUUUUGUUCCACAGGCUGCAGGAUUGUAGUUCUUCUGGCUUGUGCUGUCUGCCCUCUGGUGGAUGAGGCUACUUAAGAGGCUUAUGCAAGUUUCCUGAUGGGAGGGACUGGUGGUGGGUAGAGAUGGCUGUUGCUCUGGUAGGCAGAGCUCAGUAUAACUUUAAUCUGAUGGGUGGGGCUGGGUUCCCUCUCUGUUGGUUGUUUGGCCUGAGGCAACGCAACACUGGAGCCUACCCGGGCUCUUUGGUGGGGCUAAUGGCGGACUCUGGGAGGGCUUACACCAAGCAGUACUUCACACAACUUCUGCUGCCAGUUUCCUUGUCUGCACAGUGAACCACAGCCACCCCCCACCUCUGCAGGAGACCCUCCAACACUAGCAGCGUCUUCCUGUCAAUGAUUGUCCAGCAGCUAGUUGUGAUUCUGGUGUUCUCGCAAGAGGGAGUGAGAGCACGUCCUUCUACUCCACCAUCUUGGUUCCAAUCUCUACAAGUAAUUUCUUGAUUAUAGUUAAAGAACAAAAAUGAGAAAGUUUUCAUUAAGCAAUAUACAUCAUUUUACUACAUAUUUUCACAUUUUAAUUGUAGGUUGUCUUGAUAGGAUUAGUAUAUUUUCAUUCUGGAUCCAGGGGUCGUGGCAUGUUGGACAAAAGCUAGAGAGAUUUUAUAUGUUUCCAGGUAGAUUUAGAUUGAGUAUUUUUUCCAUUGGUCAUCUUUGUUAGUAGAUUACCUACAAGGUAGGCUUCUGCUUCAAAUGAGAUUGAAAUCUUCAGGUAUGAGACAGUUGAAGACCUAUUCCCAAGCUCAUAUGCUCAAGAUUGCCACCAAUCUGUAGUCCUUGCUGUGGGAACUGGGACAGAUUUUUAAGAGGUCCCUGACGUUAGGUGAGAGGCUGAAUCCUUUAUCAGGAUUCAUUAGAUGUGCCAGCCUCAUAGUACAGUACACUUCAAAGAAAAGUCUCAUUGUGAAAUUUUAUCUAGUAAAAUACAACUUCAUCUGCCUUAAAUUGUUUUAUUUCAUCAGUGAAAUUGGACUGCUUUUUCUGAAGUAUCUCUUAGCAAUCCUACCGUUGCGGGAUAUGCAUAUUUUUCUGAAAACUUUUUACUUUCAAUUUAGAUGAGGUUGCUGAGUAAGAAAUAAGUAGUAUUUGGUUCACUUCCAAUUAAUCCAUUUAAAAUCUAAUGUGCUACAGUCAAUAGAACUGUUGCUUCUAUGCAAUGAGAAUCCAGUACUAAAGUUAGAUAGCAAAUACAUAGUUUUAUAAAAUGAGAAAUAUACCCCCCCCUUUUUUUUUUUUUUUUUUGCGGUACACGGGCCUCUCACUGUUGUGGCCUCUCCCGUUGCGGAGCACAGGCUCCGGUGGUGCAGGCUCAGCGGCCUUGGCUCACAGGCCUAGCCACUGUGCGGUAUGUGGGAUCUUCACAGGCCGGGGCACAAACCUGUGUCCCCUGCAUCAGCAGGCAGACUCUCAACCACUGCGCCACCAGGGAAGCCCUGUAGUUACUUAAAAAAAAAUUUUUUUUAUUAAUUGAUUUGUUUUAUUUAUUUAUUUAUUUUGGCUGCGCUGCGUCUUCAUUGCUGUGCAUGGGCUUUUCUCUAGUUGCGGCGAGCAGGGGCUACUCUUCAUUGUGGUGCUCGUGCUUCUCAUUGUGGUGACUUCUCUUGUUGUUGAGUGUGGGCUCUAGAUGCGUGGGCUUCAGUAGUUCUGGCACGUGGGCUUAAGUAGUUUUGGCUCAUGGGCUCUAGAGCGCAGGCUCAGUAGUUGUGGUGCCUGGACUUCGUUGCUCCAUGGCAUGUGGGAUCUUCCCUGACCAGGGAUUGAGCCCGUGUCCCCUCCAUUGGCAGGUGGAUUCUUAACCACUGCGCCACCAGGGAAGUCCCCUAUAUAGUUACUUUACCAGUGUUCUUUAGUUCUUUAUAUGGCUUCAAGUUAUUGUCUAGUGUCCUUUCACUUGAGCCUGAAUGACUCCCUUUAGCAUUUCUUUCUUUCUUUUUUUAAAAAUUUAUUUAUUUUUGGCUGCAUUGUGUGUUCAUUGCUGUGUGCAGGCUUUCUCUAGUUUCAGCGAGCAGGGGCUACUCUUCCUUGCACAGGCUUCUCAUCACAGUGGCUUCUCUUGUUGCGGAGCACAGGCUGUAGGUGAGUUGGCUUCAGUAGUUGUAGCAUGCAGGCUCAGUAGUUGUGGCACUCGGGCUUAGUUGCUACAUGGCAUGUGGGAUCUUCCCAGACCAGGGCUCAAACCCUUGUCCCCUGCAUUGGCAGGCGGAUUCUAAUUUCUCUUUCACUAUUGAAGGAUAGUUUUCCCUGAUAUAGAAUUCUUGGGAAUUCUACAGAAAACACUUGUUUUCUUUCAGCACUUUAAACAAUGUCUUACCAUUGCCUUCUGACUUCCAUGGUUUCUAACGAGAGAUUAACUGUUACCUUUUUUGAGGAUCCCUUAUACAUUUCAAGUUGCUUCUCUUGCUGCUUCAUGAGUCUCUCUUUAUCUUUGGCUUUUUAUAAUUUGAUUAUAAUGUGUCUCAGUAUGGAACUCCGCUUUGAGUUCCUUGAGUUUCUUGGAUGUGUAGACUCAUUUCUUUUAUUAAAUUUGGGAAGUUAUUGACGAUUAUUUCUUCAAAUAUUCUUUCUCCAAUUUCUCUUCUUCUGGGGCUCUCAUAAUGUGUAUUUUGGUGCGAUUAACGGUGCCUCACAAGUUUUAUAGGCUGUGUUCAUUUUCUUCAUUCUUUUUCUGUUUCUGCUUCUCAGAUUGCAUAAUUUUUGUAUCCUAUCUUGAAGUUUAGUAAUUCUUUUUUCUCUCUGCUCAGAUCUGCUGUAAACCACUCUGGUGAAUUUUUCAUUUCCGUUUUUGUACUUUUGAGCUCACAAGUGUCUUUUUAAUUCCUUUUUAUAAUUUCUAUCUCUUUAUUGCUCUUCUCCAUUUGUUGAGACAUUGUUUUCCUGGUUUCCUAUAAUUCUUUGUCCACGGUUUCCUUAGUUCUUUGAGCAUAUUUAAAGUCUUUGCUAGUAACUCCAAUGUCUGUAUUUCCUGAGGACAGUUUCUGUUCAUUUCUUCUGUCCUGUGAAUGGGGCAUACUUUCUUGUUUCUUCCCAUGCUUUGUAAUUUUUUGUUUAAAAUUGUAUGUUUUGGAUAUCAUUAUGGUCAAAAAGGAAACAAAAGAAAAAUAUUCUCCAAGUCUUUGGAGAUUAGCUUUGUGUUAGGGCCCUCUGUUAACACUUAUCCAGGCCUUUUACAAUUCUGCUUUAGCCUUCACUUCCUGCUAGUGCUGAGCCUAAAUACUUCCUACUGGCUGAGCCAGCCAGUUAUGAAACCUUAUAGUCUUCUCUGAGCAUGCAUCCUGCCCUGGACCUGUGUGUGGUUUUCUAGAUUCCCCAGUAUAUUUGGAAGCUUUUCAAUGCCCUUAUUCCCCAAAGUUUCUCCACCCAGCUUUUACUCCCUGACUUUCAGCAUUUUUGUUGUGUGCCUCAACUAUUAUAUUUUGCCCCAGGCUAUAGUACUUGUUCAUUUGGCUUUCAGUGUUUUCAGGGAAUGUUCUCCACUUAGUCAUAGCUACUUCCCUGUCCUGAGAGAAUUCUGAGUUAGGCAGAACAAAAAGAUAGACCUCUUGAAUCAGUCCUUCAGGGAACUCAUAGACAUGUCAAAACAGCAUAAUUCCUUUGAAACAAGAUCACUCUUCUCCCUCUGGGACCAGGUACCCACCUUGGGAACAUGCACAGCCGUGUUCAUAUCUGCCAGCACUCCAGGGCAGGGGAGAGUUCUCCUCACCACAGAGUUCUCCUACCGUUUCAGUGGCCUUUCUUUUUCCAGUUAUAUUUUUAGUUGGUUGCUGUAAUAUUUGACUAACUUCCAGAGUUUCAGUAAAGUUGAGUUUGAUAAUAUUUGCCAAGUUAUUGGUGCUUCUUGGGAGGAAAGCCCCCCAAAGUUCCUUCGUCUGCCAUUUUGACUGAGGUCCUCAUAGAAUGAACUAGGUAAUAUCCUCCCCUAUUUGAUUUUCUGGAAGACUUGUGUAGACUUGGCAUUAAUUUUUUCUUACAUGUUUAGUAGAAUUCAUUCAGAAAGCCAUCCAGGCCUGGUGUUUCUUGGUGGGAAAGUUUUAAAAUACAAAUUUACCUUCCUUAAUAGAUAUAGGAAAUAUUCAGGUAAUCUAUCCCUUCUUGAGUGAGCUUUGGCAGUCUUAUUUUUUCUUCUUUUAAUUUUUUAUUGGAGUAUAGUUGAUGGCAGUUUGUGUCUUGGAAGGAAUUUCUCUGUUUCAUCUAAAUUUCAUCUAAAUUGUCAAGUCUGUUCUCAGUAUUUGUUUGAAGACCUAACUUCCCAUUGGUGACUUAAUACUGUUUAUUUCAUUAGUCUUCUCUCAAUGACUUUUCCCCUUAUUCUGGCAUAUUCAAUAUUGCUUUACUCUAUUUCUGGAAGUUUUAUCCAACCAAAUUAUUGUUUUUUAGACCCUCAAAGUCCUCCUUAUAGUCACCCUCUUUGAAUUCUCAGUUAUUUUUCUAAUUUUUCCUUUUCCCAAUUUCUUAUUAGUAACUUCUAAGUCUUUACUUGUGUUAAUGACUUACCAACUAUGAUUUUAACGUUGUUUGGAACUUGUAAUAGAUUUUCUUCAAAAAAAUCAACUUGCAAAUUUUGUAGCCGAACCCAUUUAUCCACUGGGAACUUUCCUGUACCAGCAUAGGUUAGAGUCAGUCAGCAUAGGAUAAUGUAUAAAUUGUGGAGCUAUGCUGCCUGGCCUUUGAUCUUAACUUUGCCAUGUGUCCUAAUUUCUCCUCUGGGCCUCUUUUCUUGCACCUGAAAAAUGGAGGUGAUAAUAGUAUUUACUUCAUAUAAAAAUUAUAUGAGUUAAAACAAUCUAGUACAAAGUUAGAACUCAUCAAUUAUUUACUACUAUUAUUUAUCAACAAUGACUCUGUGUUAAAAAUGGAAACUUCUGGGCUUCCUGGUGGCGCAGUGGUUGAGAGUCCACCUGCUGAUGCAGGGGACACGGGUUCGUGCCCCGGUCUGGGAGGAUCCCACAUGCUGCGGAGCGGCUGGGCCCGUGAGCCACGGCCACUGAGCCUGUGCGUCCGGAGCCUGUGCUCCGCAACGGGAGAGG